GCCGGAGAUCGAACCCAGUCUCUUCUUAUAAAUUACCCGCGCAUGCCACUGCGCCACGGAGGCCGUUAGCAUUUAAAUACCAUAUUAUAUUACUUAUUUAAUUAUCUCCUUCGUGCCUUCUCCAUCUACUCGAUACCGGCGAGAUAAACUGUGUUCAGUUGUCACGAAUGAAAGUCAUAUAGAACAAUCUAAUUGAAUAAUUUAAAAUUUAACAAGAUAUUUUUGCGUUAUUAAUAAAUCUCAAAAUGUUGUCUAUAAAACAAUAGUUUUGCAGGAAGAAACUCGACAGAUAUUUCAUUAAUGAAUUCAAUUUAAUCGUAAUAGCACCUCUUGAUAAGCUCUUCGAAACUCUCCCCCCGGGGCGACCCCUAAUUCCUUCGCUAUAUCCGCAUAGGUCUUAAGCAACAUCGCGUGGAGCAUUCCAGAAACCAACCCCUGUCCCUUAACUGCAUGUCUGUAAGAAAAUAUGUCAUAUUUUUUUUAUAGUUUAAUUAAAAAAUAGAGCUUUAAUAACUCAGUGGAUCUGCCUCCGAUUCCGGAUUGCGUAGGUUCGAAUCCGGUUCGGGGCAUGCACCUCCAACUUUUCUGUUAUGUGCUUUUUAAGAAAUUAAAUAUCACGUAUCUCAAACGGUAAAAGAAAAACAUCGUGAGAAAACCUGAUAAUUUUCCUAAUUCUCUAUGUGUGUGAAGUCUGCCAAUCCCUUUGACACCUAUAUAUAUGGACCUGUGGCAUUUUACGUCAAAAUUGGUCAAGGAUUUAACUUUUUACAGAAUAAACAAAAUUUUUUCGUAACCUCUCUAACUUAAAGAAAGCUACCUUAAUGGAGCGAGAUAGAUAUUUUUUUAGUCAUUGCUUAAAGAGGUUAGACAUAUUUUACAUGACAACAUCAAUUAUGUCAGUUGUGACCAAAUUAUCUUUUGUUUUUAGUGACCAAAAAUGGCUAUUGUUGUGGUUCCGGUGUAACGUUAUUCGAAUUAUUACGGAAAUAAUAACCAAUAAGCUUGUGAAUCGCAAAAUAAAUUAAAUUUAUACAAUGGUGAAGUGUGCAGUUGUUGCCUGCACCAACAAAACCCAAACAAAACUAGCGGAAUUUCAUUUCACAAAUUUCCAAAAAAUCAAAAUUUAAGACAAAAAUGGCUAAACAGCAUUAACAGGCCAUAUUUCAAGCCAUCACGAUACAGCUGCAUAUGUAGUGAUCAUUGUGUCCAUCUAUCCCGAAUUUAUCACCUGAGCAACAAGUAAGACAACCCUUGCAAGAAGUGAAUCUUAAUCUGUUAUCAGAGAGUCAUGACAAUGCUGUUUCCCAAAAUGGAAUACAAGUAUUGUAUUGUAUUGUCAAAAACAUUCUUAAAAACUAAAAUUUUCUUGUAAUUACGUCUCAAAAAAAUAUGAAAAAAAAAAUUUGUCUGAUAGAACGAUAAUCAAAUUUUAAAAGACCAUUUAUAAAAAAGUGUCAACUAGCUAUUACUUUUUGUUAUGUAUAACGUCCUUGUAUCAAAAAUUGUAAGUUUUGCAACUUCUAUACGGUUCGUAUCGUACUGAGAAGAGAACGUAUUCGUUUUUUAAUUUCAUAUUCGUAGCGGGUACGACACCGUCAUGUUCCGUACGCUCCAUCUGUAUAUUAUUGAUUAAUCUGUGUUAGAUACAAAACAAUUUAAUGAGAAAAUCAAUUGUAUGGAAUUUUAUAUUAUAAUAAUGUAAGACAGAA